UGUUAUUUUUUUCGUUAAAUAUUGAAACAACUAGGGGACUUUUGUCCCGAAUAUGCAGUUUGUCAGAGGUCAUUCAGUGUAACGGGAUCAGGAAACCAUUUUGAAAUUAAAUAAACAAACAAUAGUCAUCAAGCAGUCUGUGACAUCAUCAAAAGACCCCCUGAAGACCAUGUGGUGAUUCAGCAAGAUGCCCACAAACAAAAAGUUUCUAGGCACUGGCAGAAAGUUAAUGCAGACCCAGUAGCUAGGGCAAUGCAUUUAGCAAGGAGACGAGAAAGGUAUUGAGGAGUGCAAUGUAAAAAUAAUAGGGCUGGGUUUAAAAAGAUAGAUUUCUCGAUUUUAAUCAAUUCUAAUUUUGAAGAAACUAUAGUGAUUUGUAAAUCACAAUAAUCGAUCUUUCAGUCUAUGCUGUUUUCAGAUGAUGUUAAUCAAUAUCAAAUUGAUUUGAAAUUGAAUCAAAUCGUGAAAUUUGUGUCCAAGCCUAGCCCUACAGAAUAAUAGUUUACUGCUGUUUUUAGAUAGAGACUCCACCCUACCUAUACCACAAGUUAAAGGGAUAGUUCACCCAAAAUGAAAAUUUGGUCAUUAUUCACUCACUCUCAUGUUGGUAAAAACCUGUAUGAAUUUUUUUGUUCUGAUAAACACAAAGGAAGAUAUUUUGAGUAAUGUUUGUAACCAAACCGUUCGUGGACCCCAUUUACUUCCAUAGUAUUAUUUUUAGUAUCAUAGUAUGGGGUCCACAAAAGGUUUGGUUACAAACAUUUCUCAAAAUAUCUUCCUUCCAUUUAUGCGGGUUUGAAACAACACGAGAGUGAGUAAAUGAUGACAGAAUUUUCAUUUUUGGGUGAACUAUCCCUUUAAGAGAGGCCACUGAGGGGAUUCUCCGCCCAUAAUACAAAUCCUGAUAACAUGUCAUUUAUGUUGCCAAACAGAAAGUAUUUUUAAUUAAUAACACGUUUUAUAUAGAUCUAUGUCAAUAAUUUUAUGUCAAUAAUUACAUGGAAUCUGUAUUUCAGCAACCAGAGAAGAAAGCAAGCUGCCUUGGCUGCAAAUCCUGAUCACCCGUCAAUCAGGAAUUUAUCAGAUGCUGCAGCUGAGAAGAGGCAAAAGCAAUGGCGGGAAAAUCAAAGUAAACACAGGGCAGAAGCUAAACGUAUAAGGGCAGUUCUGGAUCUUAUUAUACAGUAUUACCACCUGUUCAGUUAAUUUUUACGAAUAUGAUAUGUAUUGUGGAAUAAAAUGAUUAUUAAUUUCA